rnacentral:rRNA from 1 species
UACGUAGGGUCCGAGCGUUGUCCGGAAUUACUGGGCGUAAAGAGCUCGUAGGUGGUUUGUCGCGUUGUUCGUGAAAACUCACAGCUCAACUGUGGGCGUGCGGGCGAUACGGGCAGACUAGAGUACUGCAGGGGAGACUGGAAUUCCUGGUGUAGCGGUGGAAUGCGCAGAUAUCAGGAGGAACACCGGUGGCGAAGGCGGGUCUCUGGGCAGUAACUGACGCUGGAGGAGCGAAAGCGUGGGGAGCGAACAGG